UAGGGAAUCUUCGGCAAUGGGGGCAACCCUGACCGAGCAACGCCGCGUGAGUGAAGAAGGUUUUCGGAUCGUAAAGCUCUGUUGUAAGAGAAGAACGAGUGUGAGAGUGGAAAGUUCACACUGUGACGGUAACUUACCAGAAAGGGACGGCUAACUACGUGCCAGCAGCCGCGGUAAUACGUAGGUCCCGAGCGUUAUCCGGAUUUAUUGGGCGUAAAGCGAGCGCAGGCGGUUAGAUAAGUCUGAAGUUAAAGGCUGUGGCUUAACCAUAGUACGCUUUGGAAACUGUUUAACUUGAGUGCAGAAGGGGAGAGUGGAAUUCCAUGUGUAGCGGUGAAAUGCGUAGAUAUAUGGAGGAACACCGGUGGCGAAAGCGGCUCUCUGGUCUGUAACUGACGCUGAGGCUCGAAAGCGUGGGGAGCAAACAGGAUUAGAUACCCUGGUGGUCCACGCCGUAAACGAUGAGUGCUAGGUGUUGGGUCCUUUCCGGGACUCAGUGCCGCAGCUAACGCAUUAAGCACUCCGCCUGGGGAGUACGACCGCAAGGUUG
rnacentral:rRNA from 1 species